AAGAUUCUAGCUUAAUUAAAGCAUCUGAGUUGCAAUCAGAAGAUGCAGGGUAAUGUCUUGCGAGUCUUA
rnacentral:tRNA from 1 species